CCACUCUACCCACACUCUCCUCUCGUGCUCCCUCUGGGCACGAGCAGUGCAUCUAUGUGCACAAGGGGAAGAAGUGAUGAUGUGGCAUUGAAGGAGGAGUAAAGCUGGAGCCAUUUCUGUAAUAUAUAUUCUCGUGUACAAGGUAAAAUCUCGCCAGUAAUAAAUGGACCUUCCAAUUGUGACCAUCUCUUCUUCCAUCUACUAAUUGUUGGUCGGCACUCAUCCUCCCAUCGCAUCCAGCACCUCUCAUCUUUCCAUAGUCGUCGUGGUCAUCAAUUUCAUAAAUAUUGGGUCAUCCGCAACAUCCAGGGAGGGCUGAGUCGGGGUCACAGAAAAGCGUUUCGUGAAAGGUGGUCCCAUUCAGUCGACAGUAUAAUUUUGGAGAAAACGAUCUAUCGCAGAAUCCCUCAAGGUCAACCACGAAAUUGGAGGUCAAUUGGUUCCCUACAUAUAUAAAAGUAGAUUACGCAGUCAAAACGUUACAGAGAUGAGUUUUCCAUUCGGGUGAAUGUCUUAUGACAAAACUCCUAUGUCGGGUCGUGCUCCUAAGAAACUCUGCGUAAUAUAUUGUCUACAUCAAAUUAAUCGUCUUAAUUGGAAUUUAGUAUAAAUUCGAUCACCACAACGUCAUCAGCAAGUCAUCGAGUCUCAUCGUCUUAAAAUUCGCUGCAAUAAAAAUCGUCGCUGGAUUUUCGUCAAUCAUAUUCAUCACUUGGAUUUCGUCAUCAAAUGCAAAUCUUCUAGAAUAUUUAAAAUGGUACGUAAGGAAAAGUAAUGUCUCGUAAAUGUUGAAUUUAAUGUGAUGAUCGUAUUAUUUUGAUUCGUAAUUUGUAACAGAUUUUUUUUUCGUAUUGGUUAAUUUUUAUGUAUGUAAUUGGUACAAUAAGUCGUUACUUCACAAAUUUCGUUAAAAUGUAUUUUCGUAAUUGAUAUGUACACAGUAGAACAUGAUUUUGAUAAUUUGAGAACGAAUAGGUAAAUAUUUAUUGAAUGGUUCAGUCGCAAUUGAAUUUUUAAUGUAUUUUGUCUCGUAAAUAGAGUUCAAAUUUUGUCUUAAGAAUUUCAUAUUCAGCAAGUAAAAAGUUUUCAGUUUUUGAUAUUUUCACACGAGUUUAUUAUAAGAAAUGUUUGAUUAUUGGUUUUAAAGAGCAAAAUUAAGUUUUAUAUGAUAUUUUGAAAGACUUUAAAAGAAAAGAGAAAGGCUUAAAUAGGAAAAUAUUCGUACUAUUUGCUAAAAUGUACUUAAUUUGGUUAGAUUGUCAAAAUAUUAAUUUGUCAUUCACAGUAAAAUUUGAUAAAAUAUUGUCUGAGAGUCAUGAUUAUAGUACAAUUAUAAUCUAGAAAAUAUGAUUUAUAAUAUUCAAGAUGAUCCUAAUCAAUUAAAGGUAACGAUGUUAAGAUAGUAGAUGGUCCACACCGUAGAAUACAGGGUGAUUGAGGGAGUUGACUUCUCGGAGACACCUCCUGAUCAUGAUACCAGUAUUUUGGGUACGGGAGCAGACUUUCCUUUAGGAGAGAAACUCCUGAGCCUGUUAGACGGUGCAGACAUAGUCACAGGAAGUCGAUGAAAUAGAUGUAAUUUGUUGAAAGAAUUAAAUAGCUAAGAUGAGUCGAAAAUGGAUUAAUGCUAAUAUGAUGCACAGUUGAUAAAGAUAAAGUUUCAAGAUCAUUGUUAAGUUGGAAAAGAAAAUUGAAACAUGAUAAUUUUGUUUGAAAUGUCAGAAUUUUAAAAUUAUUUAAGAAAACAAGAUAAACUUGAAGCUAAUAUUGAUUGUUAAACGUUAAGAAAGCAACAUGUUAAAAAUGACAAAGAUCAUGAAAUGUUAAUGGUUAAACAAAGAGUAGAAUGAGACAGAGAAAGAGUAUAAGUAUUAAGAGGGUAAAUGAGUAAUGAGUUUAAGGUACAAACUAACUUUCACCGAGUAAAAGUAGUUUCUUUUAGGGGGGGUGGGUGUAACCACUCUACCCACACUCUCCUCUCGUGCUCCCUCUGGGCACGAGCAGUGCAUCUAUGUGCACAAGGGGAAGAAGUGAUGAUGUGGCAUUGAAGGAGGAGUAAAGCUGGAGCCAUUUCUGUAAUAUAUAUUCUCGUGUACAAGGUAAAAUCUCGCCAGUAAUAAAUGGACCUUCCAAUUGUGA